ACACGACUACAUUAGAUACCCCGGUAGUCCCAGCCCUAAACGAUGCGCGUUAGGUGUAUCGGUGACCACGAGUCACCGAGGUGCCGAAGGGAAACCGUGAAACGUGCCGCCUGGGAAGUACGGUCGCAAGGCUGAAACUUAAAGGAAUUGGCGGGGGAGCACCGCAACGGGUGGAGCCUGCGGUUUAAUUGGACUCAACGCCGGGAAGCUCACCGGAUAAGACAGCGGAAUGAUUGCCGGGCUGAAGACCCUGCAUGACCAGCUG
rnacentral:rRNA from 1 species